rnacentral:rRNA from 1 species
GACGUAGGAGGCGAGCGUUGUCCGGAUUCAUUGGGCGUAAAGAGCGCGCAGGCGGCUUGGUAAGUCGGAUGUGAAAACCCGAGGCUCAACCUCGGGCGUGCAUCCGAAACUGCUCGGCUAGAGGUAGGUAGGGGAGAUCGGAAUUCCUGGUGUAGCGGUGAAAUGCGCAGAUAUCAGGAGGAACACCGGUGGCGAAGGCGGAUCUCUGGGCCUUACCUGACGCUGAGGAGCGAAAGUGUGGGGAGCGAACAGG